rnacentral:rRNA from 1 species
UUUGUGACAUACCUAUAACUGUUGCUUCGGCGGGUAGGGUCUCCGUGACCCUCCCGGCCUCCCGCCUCCGGGCGGGUCGGCGCCCGCCGGAGGAUAACCAAACUCUGAUUUAACGACGUUUCUUCUGAGUGGUACAAGCAAAUAAUCAAAACUUUUAACAACGGAUCUCUUGGUUCUGGCAUCGAUGAAGAACGCAGCGAAAUGCGAUAAGUAAUGUGAAUUGCAGAAUUCAGUGAAUCAUCGAAUCUUUGAACGCACAUUGCGCCCGCCAGCAUUCUGGCGGGCAUGCCUGUUCGAGCGUCAUUUCAACCCUCAAGCUCUGCUUGGUGUUGGGGCCCUACAGCUGAUGUAGGCCCUCAAAGGUAGUGGCGGACCCUCCCGGAGCCUCCUUUGCGUAGUAACUUUACGUCUCGCACUGGGAUCCGGAGGGACUCUUGCCGUAAAACCCCCAAUUUUCCAAAGGUUGACCUCGGAUCAGGUAGGAAUACCCGCUGAACUUAAGCAUAUCAAUAA